UUCGGGUCUCGGCGUGCCGCCGCGGGGACCCUCGGGGUGGGAAUUCCGGCCCUGACGGGAAAUCUGGGAUGGAAAUCUGGGAUGGAAAUUCCAGCCCUGACGGGAAAUCUGGGAUGGAAAUCUGGGAUGGAAAUCCCAAUCCUGACGGGAAAUCUGGGAUGGAAAUAUGGGAUGGAAAUCCCAACCCUGACGGGAAAUCUGGGAUGGAAAUCUGGGAUGGAAAUCCCAAUCCUGACGGGAAAUCUGGGAUGGAAAUCUGGGAUGGAAAUCCCAAUCCUGACGGGAAAUCUGGGAUGGAAAUCUGGGAUAGAAAUCCCAACCCUGCCAGGAAAUCUGGGAUGGAAAUCCCAACCCUGCCAGGAAUCCCGGGAUGGAAAUCUGGGAUGGAAAUCCCAACCCUGCCAGGAAAUCUGGGAUGGAAAUCCCAACCCUUCCAUGGUCCAUCCCAACCUUUCAGGAAUCCCAGGAUGGAAAUCCCAACCCUGCCGGGAAAUCUGGGAUGGACAUCCCAAUCCAAAUCCUUCCAGGACCCUCAGGAUGGACAUCCCAACCCUUCCAGGGUCCAUCCCAAUCCUUCCAGGAACUCCAACCCUUCCAGGAAUCCCACAAUGGGCCCCCCAACCCUGCCAGGACCCUCACGAUGGACACCCCAAAACUUUGGCAUCCCUGGAAUGGGAAUUCCAUCUCUUUGGGAUCUCCAGCCCCAUUUUGGGACAGGAAUUCCAAACUUUUGGGGUCUCCAGCCCCAUUUUGGGACGGGAAUUCCAAACUUUUGGGGUCUCCUCGGCCCUUUGGGGUCUCCUGCCCCAUUUUGGGAUAUCCUGGCACGGGAAUCCCGAGCCCACUCCGGUGGUUUUGGGGUUUCCUGGAGAAAUCCCAGCCCUGUCCCCGCUGGCCCGGGGAUUUUGGGGUCAGGAUUUGGGGUUUGGAUUUUGGGUUCUGAUUUUGGGGUCAGGGUUUUGGGGUCUGAUUUUGGGGUCUGAUUUUGGGAUCUGGAUUUUGGGGUCUGGACUUUGAGGUUUGGAUUUUGGGGUCUGAUUUUGAGGCCUGGAUUUUGGGGUCUGGAUUUUGGGGUGACACAGCGCUAGUGACCAAAGUUGUACAGGCAGGAGGGGGCUGAGGGUCCCCCCCAAAACCCCCCCUGGGGUUUUUUGGGGUCAGAGAGCUUGACCCCAAAAAAACAAAAAUAAGCACAAAAAAGUUCCCCCUGGGUGAACUCCUGUAAGUUAUUGGGAGAAGGUUGAAUUAUUUUUGUUAAUCACAUCUCGACGAUCAGUUCCUAAAAAAAAACGCAGGGAGAUUUUAGAAAUAAUAAUAAUAAUAAAAAAAAAAUAAUAAUAAUUAAUAAUUAAUAA
rnacentral:lncRNA from 1 species